rnacentral:rRNA from 1 species
UUGGAGGGCAAGUCUGGUGCCAGCAGCCGCGGUAAUUCCAGCUCCAAUAGCGUAUAUUAAAGUUGUUGCAGUUAAAAAGCUCGUGGUUGAACCUCGGGGUCUACCCAUUGGUCAGGCUUAAUUGUCUGCACUGGUGAGAUGGAUCUCUACCUUCUGAGGAACUUUCAUGCCAUUUAUUUGGUGUGAUGGGAAAUCAGGACUGUUACUUUGAAAAAAUUAGAGUGUUUAAAGCAGGCUAUCGUCUGAAUACAUUAGCAUGGAAUAAUGAAAUAGGACGGACUGAUUCUAUUUCGUUGGUUUCUAGGAUCACCGUAAUGAUUAAUAGGGAUAGUUGGGGGCAUUAGUAUUCAAUUGUCAGAGGUGAAAUUCUUGGAUUUAUUGAAGACUAACUACUGCGAAAGCAUUUGCUUAGGAUGUUUUCAUUAAUCAAGAACGAAAGUUAGGGGAUCGAAGACGAUCAGAUACCGUCGUAGUCUUAACCAUAAACUAUGCCGACUAGGGAUCGGAUGAUGUUAAUUUUUUAAUGACUCAUUCGGCGCCUUACGGGAAACCAAAGUGUUUGGGUUC